rnacentral:rRNA from 1 species
UACGUAGGGGGCAAGCGUUGUCCGGAUUUAUUGGGCGUAAAGAGCGUGUAGGCGGCCAGGUAGGUCGGCUGUGAAAACUCGAGGCUCAACCUCGAGCUGUCGGCCGAAACCAUCUGGCUAGAGCCCGGAAGAGGAGAAUGGAAUUCCCGGUGUAGCGGUGAAAUGCGCAGAUAUCGGGAAGAACACCCGUGGCGAAGGCGGUUCUCUGGGACGGUACUGACGCUGAGACGCGAAAGCGUGGGGAGCGAACAGG